rnacentral:rRNA from 1 species
AGAGUUUGAUCAUGGCUCAGGAUGAACGCUAGCGGCAGGCUUAAUACAUGCAAGUCGAGGGGCAGCACGGGUAGCAAUACCUGGUGGCGACCGGCAAACGGGUGCGGAACACGUACACAACCUUCCCUUGAGGCGGGGGAUAGCCCAGAGAAAUUUGGAUUAAUACCCCAUAAGAUAUUGUCCCGGCAUCGGGAAGAUAUUAAAGAUUUAUCACCUUAGGAUGGGUGUGCGUAUGAUUAGGUAGUUGGUGCGGGUAACGGCCCACCAAGCCAUCGAUCAUUAACUGGUGUGAGAGCACGACCAGUCACACGGGCACUGAGACACGGGCCCGACUCCUACGGGAGGCAGCAGUAAGGAAUAUUGGUCAAUGGACGAAAGUCUGAACCAGCCAUGCCGCGUGAAGGAUGACGGCCCUCUGGGUUGUAGACUUCUUUUAUCUGGGACGAAAAAGGGCCAUUCUUGGUCAACUGACGGUACCAGAGGAAUAAGCACCGGCUAACUCCGUGCCAGCAGCCGCGGUAAUACGGAGGGUGCAAGCGUUAUCCGGAUUUACUGGGUUUAAAGGGAGCGCAGGCGGAUUGGUAAGUCAGUGGUGAAAUACCCGUGCUUAACAUGGGAACUGCCAUUGAUACUAUCAGUCUUGAAUGUUGUUGAGGUUUGCGGAAUGGGUCAUGUAGCGGUGAAAUGCAUAGAUAUGACCCGGAACACCUAUUGCGAAGGCAGCAGGCUAAACAAAUAUUGACGCUGAGGCUCGAAAGCGUGGGGAUCAAACAGGAUUAGAUACCCUAGUAGUCC